rnacentral:rRNA from 3 species
UGUUGACCUCGGAUCAGGUAGGAAUACCCGCUGAACCUAAGCAUAUCA